rnacentral:misc_RNA from 1 species
AAGGCGGGAAUGUUGUCCCUUUAUUCCACCUCGCUGUUCUGUAUAAAAGGGACAAACAUAAAAUAGGAGGGGCAUUGAUGUUCUGCCUUUAUGGUGACAGUGGAGUUGUCACAGAGCCAAUUCAGUGUCUGUGUACAAUUGUAGAGCUGGCAGAGCGGGAGAGGAUGUUGAAACAGUUAUGUUACAUACAGUAAGGUGUAUAAA